GACGAACCGUGCAAACGUUGUUCGGAAUCACUGGGCUUAAAGGGCGCGUAGGCGGGGGACCAAGUCCGGGGUGAAAUCUUUCGGCUCAACCGGAAAACUGCCUUGGAUACUGGUCUUCUUGAGGGAGGUAGGGGCAGGUGGAACUUCCGGUGGAGCGGUGAAAUGCGUUGAUAUCGGAAGGAACGCCGGUGGCGAAAGCGACCUGCUGGAUCUCUUCUGACGCUGAGGCGCGAAAGCUAGGGGAGCGAACGGG
rnacentral:rRNA from 1 species